rnacentral:rRNA from 1 species
UACAGAGGGUGCGAGCGUUAAUCGGAAUUACUGGGCGUAAAGCGUGCGUAGACGGCUAUCUAAGUCGGGUGUGAAAGCCCCGGGCUCAACCUGGGAAUUGCAGUGGAUACUGGGGAGCUAGAGUGCGGUAGAGGGUAGUGGAAUUCCCGGUGUAGCGGUGAAAUGCGUAGAGAUCGGGAAGAAUACCAGUGGCGAAGGCGGCUACCUGGACCAGCACUGACACUGAGUCACGAAAGCGUGGGGAGCAAACAGG